GACGAACGCUGGCGGCGUGCUUAACACAUGCAAGUCGAACGGAAAGGCCCUGCUUUUGUGGGGUGCUCGAGUGGCGAACGGGUGAGUAACACGUGAGUAACCUGCCCUUGACUUUGGGAUAACUUCAGGAAACUGGGGCUAAUACCGGAUAGGAGCUCCUGCUGCAUGGUGGGGGUUGGAAAGUUUCGGCGGUUGGGGAUGGACUCGCGGCUUAUCAGCUUGUUGGUGGGGUAGUGGCUUACCAAGGCUUUGACGGGUAGCCGGCCUGAGAGGGUGACCGGCCACAUUGGGACUGCGAUACGGCCCAGACUCCUACGGGAGGCAGCAGUGGGGAAUAUUGCACAGUGGGCGGAAGCCUGAUGCAGCAACGCCGCGUGCGGGAUGACGGCCUUCGGGUUGGAAACCGCUUUCGCCUGUGACGAAGCGUGAGUGACGGUACUGGGUAAAGAAGCACCGGCUAACUACGUG
rnacentral:rRNA from 1 species